CCCUUAGAUGUUCUGGGCAGCACGCGCGCUUCAAUGGUCUUCGCAAACGGAUGCAUUCUCGAAGGAGAAUGCCAAUCUUGGAAUCUAUGCCUUGGUCGGGACAGUUGCUUGCAAUUUUUCGACUCGAACCAGGAAUUCCUUGUAAUCGUGAUUCAUCACAUCACGAUGAAUACGUCCCUGCCCUUUGUACACACCGCCCGUCGCUCCUACCGAUCGAAGAGUUAGGUGAAUUGUUUUGAUCGAUAAGAUUUGACUAUGGUCAACUCUCGUUGUGAAAUUCUGUGAAUCUGACUGUUUAGAGGAAGGAAAAGUCGUAACA
rnacentral:rRNA from 1 species